rnacentral:misc_RNA from 1 species
GAUGAAGAACGUAGUGAAAUGCGAUAAGUAAUGUGAAUUGCAGAAUUCAGUGAAUCAUCGAAUCUUUGAACGCACAUUGCGCCCCCUGGUAUUCCGGGGGGCAUGCCUGUCCGAGCGUCAUUACAACCCUCAAGCUCUGCUUGGUGUUGGGCCCCGCCGCCCCGGCGGGCCCUAAAGUCAGUGGCGGUGCCAUCCGGCUCCGAGCGUAGUAAUUCUUCUCGCUCUGGAGGUCCGGUUGUGUGCUUGCCAUCAACCCCCAAUUUUUUUCAGGUUGACCUCGGAUCAGGUAGGGAUACCCGCUGAACUUAAGCAUAUCAAUAAGCGGAGGA